CUAACAAUAAAACUUUCAAGAGCAAUAGUAGCUAUGAAUAAGACCAGUUCCCUCCUGUUUGGGUGAAAGCAGUAUUUGAUUCCUAGAGAAAAGCUUCCUGAACAACAACAAAAAUUCUUACCUACUGGAUGAUGUUUGAAGUGUCCCAAUAUCACUACUAAAGCUGGAAUCUGAGCUCAGAGAAAGGAAAGACCUGCUGAAGGUCAUGCUUGGUAGAAGGUGGAGAAGAGAUUCAAACCAAGGGCUGGAGCGCUUGCUCGCAGCUGCGGUACUUCUGCACAUCUCACGAGAACUCUGUUAGAAGACCUGAACUCUCAUCUGAUGGCAAAGCUUGGUGACCAGUCUCCAUACAGCCCAUGGGGGCACCAAGCAGAGUUUCAGAAUCGCAUCUGGAAGGGAUCUCAACGGGCACCUCGUCCAGCUUGGGUACCACACCCACAGCCAAUCCCAGGCUCCGCCAAUGGCUUCCACAACUUUUUUUUUUUCUUUUUUUCCUUUUUAUUGGAGUAUAGUUGAUUUACAAUGCUGUGUUAGUGUCAGGUGUACAGCACAGUGAAUCAGUUAUACAU